CCCUUAGAUGUUCUGGGCUGCACGCGUGCUACACUGAUUCUUUCAACAAGUGUUUUAACUGGAGAGUUUGCGUAAUCCUGAAAUGUUAUCGUGAUGGGAGUAGAGUAUUGUAUUUGUUAAUCUUUAACGAGGAAUUCCUAGUAAGUGUAGGUUUAUAAGUUGUUCUGAUUACGUCCCUGCCCUUUGUACACACCGCCCGUCGCUCCUACCGAUUGAUUGAUCCGGUGAAUUACAUAGAAUUUUGCGUUUUACAUGACGGAAGACGAAGUGUUUUAAACCUUAUCAUUUAGAGGAAGGAGAAGUCGUAACA
rnacentral:rRNA from 1 species